UACGAAGGGUGCAAACGUUGCUCGGAAUUAUUGGGCGUAAAGCGCACGUAGGCGGCAUUGCAAGUCGGAUGUGAAAUCCCUCGGCUUAACCAAGGAAGUGCAUCCGAAACUGCUGUGCUUGAGUACUUAAGAGGAUCGCGGAAUUCCCGGUGUAGAGGUGAAAUUCGUAGAUAUCGGGAGGAACACCAGUGGCGAAGGCGGCAUCCUGGACCAACACUGACGCUGAGUGAGCGAAAGCCAGGGGAGCAAACGGG
rnacentral:rRNA from 1 species